rnacentral:rRNA from 1 species
GCUUGCUUGUUGGGGUUGUAGGACACUCUAUACGGAGUUACAAAGGACGACAUUAGACGAAUCAUCUGGAAAGAUGAAUCAAAGAAGGUAAUAAUCCUGUAGUCGAAAAUGUUGUCUCUCUUGAGUGGAUCCUGAGUACGACGGAGCACGUGAAAUUCCGUCGGAAUCUGGGAGGACCAUCUCCUAAGGCUAAAUACUCUCUAGUGACCGAUAGUGAACCAGUACCGUGAGGGAAAGGUGAAAAGCACCCCGGAAGGGGAGUGAAAUAGAACCUGAAACCGUGUGCUUACAAGUAGUCAGAGCCCGUUAAUGGGUGAUGGCGUGCCUUUUGUAGAAUGAACCGGCGAGUUACGAUUUGAUGCAAGGUUAAGCAGUAAAUGUGGAGCCGUAGCGAAAGCGAGUCUGAAUAGGGCGUUUAGUAUUUGGUCGUAGACCCGAAACCAGGUGAUCUACCCUUGGUCAGGUUGAAGUUCAGGUAACACUGAAUGGAGGACCGAACCGACUUACGUUGAAAAGUGAGCGGAUGAACUGAGGGUAGCGGAGAAAUUCCAAUCGAACCUGGAGAUAGCUGGUUCUCUCCGAAAUAGCUUUAGGGCUAGCCUCAAGUGAUGAUUAUUGGAGGUAGAGCACUGUUUGGACGAGGGGCCCCUCUCGGGUUACCGAAUUCAGACAAACUCCGAAUGCCAAUUAAUUUAACUUGGGAGUCAGAACAUGGGUGAUAAGGUCCGUGUUCGAAAGGGAAACAGCC